rnacentral:rRNA from 1 species
AUUGAACGCUGGCGGCAGGCCUAACACAUGCAAGUCGAGCGGAUGAAGGGAGCUUGCUGGAUUCAGCGGCGGACGGGUGAGUAAUGCCUAGGAAUCUGCCUGGUAGUGGGGGAUAACGUCCGGAAACGGGCGCUAAUACCGCAUACGUCCUGAGGGAGAAAGUGGGGGAUCUUCGGACCUCACGCUAUCAGAUGAGCCUAGGUCGGAUUAGCUAGUUGGUGGGGUAAAGGCCUACCAAGGCGACGAUCCGUAACUGGUCUGAGAGGAUGAUCAGUCACACUGGAACUGAGACACGGUCCAGACUCCUACGGGAGGCAGCAGUGGGGAAUAUUGGACAAUGGGCGAAAGCCUGAUCCAGCCAUGCCGCGUGUGUGAAGAAGGUCUUCGGAUUGUAAAGCACUUUAAGUUGGGAGGAAGGGCAGUAAGUUAAUACCUUGCUGUUUUGACGUUACCAACAGAAUAAGCACCGGCUAACUUCGUG